UACAGAGGGUGCGAGCGUUGUUCGGAAUUACUGGGCGUAAAGCGCACGUAGGCGGAUCGUUAAGUCAGGGGUGAAAUCCUGGAGCUCAACUCCAGAACUGCCUUUGAUACUGGCGGUCUUGAGUCCGGAAGAGGUGAGUGGAACUCCUAGUGUAGAGGUGAAAUUCGUAGAUAUUAGGAAGAACGCCGGUGGCGAAGGCGGCCCACUGGUCCGGUACUGACGCUGAGGUGCGAAAGCGUGGGGAGCAAACAGG
rnacentral:rRNA from 1 species